GUCGGCGUAGUCUAGUGGUUAUGAUGCUUGCUUUACAAAACUUCGCCAUGCCUGGUUCUGAAGCGCAAGAGGUCGCCGGUUCGACCCCGGCCGCCGAUA